rnacentral:rRNA from 1 species
UGAGGAAUUUUCCGCAAUGGGCGAAAGCCUGACGGAGCGACGCCGCGUGUGGGAUGAAGUCCUUCGGGAUGUAAACCACUGUCAGCGGGGACGAUAUUGACAGUACCCGCAGAGGAAGGCCCGGCUAACUACGUGCCAGCAGCCGCGGUAAUACGUAGGGGCCAAGCGUUGUCCGGAAUCAUUGGGCGUAAAGGGCGCGUAGGCGGCUUAUUAAGUCGGAUGUUAAAUCCACAGGCUUAACCUGUGGCCGCAUCCGAUACUGAUGAGCUAGAGAGUGGUAGAGGAAAACGGAACUUUCGGUGUAGCGGUGAAAUGCGUAGAUAUCGAAAGGAACACCAGUGGCGAAGGCGGUUUUCUGGGCCAUUUCUGACGCUGAGGCGCGAAAGCCAGGGGAGCAAACGGG